rnacentral:rRNA from 1 species
GGGUUGUGAGGUUAAGCGACUAAGCGUACACGGUGGAUGCCCUGGCAGUCAGAGGCGAUGAAGGGCGUGCUAAUCUGCGAUAAGCGCCGGUAAGGUGAUAUGAACCGUUAUAACCGGCGAUACCCGAAUGGGGAAACCCAGUGUGAUUCGUCACACUAUCAUUAACUGAAUCCAUAGGUUAAUGAGGCGAACCGGGGGAACUGAAACAUCUAAGUACCCCGAGGAAAAGAAAUCAACCGAGAUUCCCCCAGUAGCGGCGAGCGAACGGGGAGGAGCCCAGAGCCUGAAUCAGCAUGUGUGUUAGUGGAAGCGUCUGGAAAGGCGCGCGAUACAGGGUGACAGCCCCGUACACAAAAGCGUAUGUGCUGUGAGCUCGAUGAGUAGGGCGGGACACGUGGUAUCCUGUCUGAAUAUGGGGGGACCAUCCUCCAAGGCUAAAUACUCCUGACUGACCGAUAGUGAACCAGUACCGUGAGGGAAAGGCGAAAAGAACCCCGGCGAGGGGAGUGAAAAAGAACCUGAAACCGUGUACGUACAAGCAGUGGGAGCACCCUUUGGGGUGUGACUGCGUACCUUUUGUAUAAUGGGUCAGCGACUUAUAUUCUGUAGCAAGGUUAACCGAAUAGGGGAGCCGGAGGGAAACCGAGUCUUAAUUGGGCGUUAAGUUGCAGGGUAUAGACCCGAAACCCGGUGAUCUAGCCAUGGGCAGGUUGAAGGUUGGGUAACACUAACUGGAGGACCGAACCGACUAAUGUUGAAAAAUUAGCGGAUGACCUGUGGCUGGGGGUGAAAGGCCAAUCAAACCGGGAGAUAGCUGGUUCUCCCCGAAAGCUAUUUAGGUAGCGCCUCGUGAAUUCAUCUCCGGGGGUAGAGCACUGUUUCGGCUAGGGGGUCAUCCCGACUUACCAACCCGAUGCAAACUGCGAAUACCGGAGAAUGUUAUCACGGGAGACACACGGCGGGUGCUAACGUCCGUCGUGAAGAGGGAAACAACCCAGACCGCCAGCUAAGGUCCCAAAGUCAUGGUUAAGUGGGAAACGAUGUGGGAAGGCACAGACAGCCAGGAUGUUGGCUUAGAAGCAGCCAUCAUUUAAAGAAAGCGUAAUAGCUCACUGGUCGAGUCGGCCUGCGCGGAAGAUGUAACGGGGCUAAACCAUGCACCGAAGCUGCGGCAGCGACACUCAGGUG